AUGGAAUCUGGAAUUUGUGCGAAGCCACCAUUGUUGAAUAAAAACGUCUGUGAAGUACCAGGAAUUCAUGAACACGAGCGUGUUCUUUUAGCCAUAGAUGGCGGUCGGUCUAACGAUGGUAGAUUUUCCUUCACAUUUGUGCGAAAAGGUUUGAUAAUUGCGUAUAAGCAAUUGACUUAAGAAAAAAAAGGUUUGCAAGAUAAAUUGAAUAAAAUGGACACAUUAAAAAAAAUUGCAACAAUUUGAGAUGGAAAAUAGUAAAGCGAAGUUCAAUUUCAGUUCCAGUUACGACAUGAAGUCACGCAGUGAGACAGAACCAUUCAAUAGCCAUUUCUCAAGGAUAACAAAGAGCAGCAGACGCAGAAAAUUGAGCUAGAGAACUUGCAAAAGUCUCAAACUUUGAAACACGUUUGACAGAACUUUCAAACCCUAUUAGUGUUACCUAAUUAACUGUUGAUUUAGGUUAUCGAGAUCAAAC